rnacentral:rRNA from 1 species
AUUGAACGCUGGCGGCAUGCCUUACACAUGCAAGUCGAACGGUAACAGGUCUUCGGAUGCUGACGAGUGGCGAACGGGUGAGUAAUACAUCGGAACGUGCCUAGUAGUGGGGGAUAACUACUCGAAAGAGUGGCUAAUACCGCAUGAGAUCUACGGAUGAAAGCAGGGGAUCGCAAGACCUUGUGCUACUAGAGCGGCCGAUGGCAGAUUAGGUAGUUGGUGGGAUAAAAGCUUACCAAGCCGACGAUCUGUAGCUGGUCUGAGAGGACGAUCAGCCAAACUGGGACUGAGACACGGCCAAGACUCCUACGGGAGGCAGCAGUGGGGAAUUUUGGACAAUGGGCGCAAGCCUGAUCCAGCAAUGCCGCGUGCAGGAUGAAGGCCUUCGGGUUGUAAACUGCUUUUGUACGGAACGAAAAGCCCUGGGUUAAUACCCUGGGGUCAUGACGGUACCGUAAGAAUAAGCACCGGCUAACUACGUGCCAGCAGCCGCGGUAA